AAUUCGGCCUUUAUUCCUCUUCAAGUCUUCAAUCUGCAAGAUCUCCGAGGGAGGCGAGCGGUCCGCGACCCACCACUUGGGCAUUUUCAUCUUCAAUCUGCGUGGUCACUGAAGAAUUAUCUCCUCUUCAAUCUGUGAGGGAGGAGAGCAGUUCACCGUCCCACCACUUCCGCCUUUUCCUCUAUGAUCGAUUGAUCGCGCGGUGUCUUCAUCUGCCCUUUGAGCUGCAAGGUCACAAAGGGAAGCCAGGGGAGAGUACGCCCAGUCGGCAGAUCACAGGGAACCCCAUUCCAAGGUGAGUUUAUCUGGCGUUGACUUGAUUUCCCCCAUUUUAUUUGGGGUUGUGCAGGAAAGGGUGGACUGCAUGCUGGAGAAGAUUGAUCUGGUCAUCAGAAUGGUCAUCUCUAUUUUGACUUCAAGGAGAAUGAAUCCAUCGUCAAAUGUAUUUUGUUAUCUUUCCAUGCCUUUUUUCUAAGUUUUUUCUGAUGUUUAUGGUCGGAUUUUCAUAGUUGGUUUGAGUGGCGAGAAUCUACUGGGCAGAACAGCAAAUCAAUUGUUUGCUGAAUCAAUAUUCAGAUUGGAAAUCAUUCAGUGAUUUUGCUGGUACUGUUUUAAGUUCUCCCCUGAUGCGGCCAUGAAGCUCGAAGGUAAUCGUCGCCGCCGGCCGGCCGGUAAUUUCUUUGCUGGUAGCAAUAAUUCCAUUGCACGAUGGUCAAGUGCCCACCACUUCGUACGUGCCUUUUUUUAUAUUCAGUUCAUCUCCUUACCUAUUUGUAUAUCACUGUAUGCUGAAUAGCGAGUUGGUUUCAGUAAGUGAGUACGCAAUGGGUUUUGAUUUUGGGCCACUGCACAUGCAUGUUUUUCUUUAUCUUCUACUUCUAUUUGCAUAUCAGAUCAUUGAUCCGAUCCACAUGACUCUUGCAGUAUCAUAAAUCAAGUCCAUUGACAAUUUGUCAUUACAACUUUCUUAAUAAUUCAUUCGCCUCUAUUAAUUCUUCAGACUGCAGGGAAUGUUCAUACGCAAGCAAGACUAAACCUUUGCUUGCGGACGACUGGGCUGGUUAGAUGUUAUGAUCAGUCAUUGCAUGACUAUUCUCCCACUUUUAUUUCAGAUUCCUCUCAGGGAAACCUUCAAUACUGUUUAAUUUGAUUUCAAGUCCUUUCAGCUCUUGCAUGUAUCAUACUUUUUCAACUUUGCAAAGAUGAAAUCUACAUCUUGCCACUCUCCAUCUCAUGGAAGCUAUAUUUCUGUUUACUUUCUCCCAAUGAGUUACUUUCAUAUGACAAUUUUCAAGGUUCUGGAUGGAUCAUAAAUAAAGCGUCUUCAAUAAUCUUAUCCCUAAUGUUUUCAUGGGCUUUGGUUAAUUCUCUUGAAGCAUGGUGAGUUACAGUAGGUGUGCAUUAUCUAUGUAUGAUUGAGCCUAUCAGAUUCUGUAAGUCGGCACUACUUUCUUUUUUGCUGCAGAAUGUUUUUUUGGGAAAUCUGUUUCAAUCCAUAUUCAUUUAUUUCUGUUCUAGACUACGGCGAAAUUAGUUGCUCAGUUUCUUCAAAAGCUUUUAUAUGUCAUGAUAUUUCGUUGUUUGGUAUAAUUAAAAUGGAGACCAAGAGGAGAGCGUUGCGAGGAGAACAACUGUCUACAUAUACUCAAUGUGAACUUUUGAAGGUGUUUAUUGGCACAUUUUUAAAAUAAUGCACACUUCCAUUUGAACAUCUUGAUUAAAUAAUUUGGUUGAUUUCGGUGACAGGUGUACAUUGCAAGAUGUAACUAUUUAUAUAUAUGUAUUACUGUACCGUAAGAAAAUUUUGAUUUCAGUAAUACACAACCAAUGUAUCACAAGUAAUUUAUACAAUGAUUUGUAAGCAAUAACUCAUUGAUCCCGUGGGCUUAUGUAUUGUUGCUUAUUUUAUCUUUUCUUAUCCCCUUGCUGAAACAUGUUUUGUUGGGUCAGUCAAUUGAUCUUAGAAAGAUAGUUAGUUAAAUAGAAAAUCAAAUUUGAUGUCAGGUGCAUAUGCCCGAUUUACUUAAACAAAUUAGAAUGUUAAAAUAUUCAGAUAAUUUUUGCCUGCAUAUCUACACAUUUUUUGUGCGCACAUAAUAUUUCACUGAAAACCUAGAACUUUUGUACCCUGUAACAAAAAAAUAUAUCUCUAGAAAUGUCUUAUUUUUAGCACUGAAUUUUAUCAUUUUACACGGGAUGCACAAAAAGUUGAUUUUUGCUGACACAACUUUGUGAGCGUGUAGGAUCUGGAGAUAUGCGCAUAAUAUUUAAUUUUAAUUUUUUAACAUGUUUAAAAUGCAUUUCAAAUAAAGGGAGCAUAUAUAGCUGGAACCCAAAAGGCUGAUACAUACAUGAUGCUCUUUGUCUUAAAUUUGAGCCAAGCUCAUAGUUGAUUUAAAAGGGGUGUUAAUUGGUUAACACGAUCCUUGCUAUUAUAUCCCGUCUAUAAGUUACAUGCUAGAACAUAGGUUGUUUCAAAAAAAUUACUGAACAGAAUAUUUCUUUUAUUUAUGCAAUUAUCCCGCAGCACCGCGCGUGGUAUCAUCUAGUUUUAUAAAUUUAUAAUACCCCGACAAAAACGUUGCUGGUAGCUCUGCAAAAAAAAUUUGCAUGUACAAUUAAUAUGCUAUAAGAUAGAGGCGAGAGAUAAUGAAAAUAAGUUGCAGAAAACAUCCAUAUUGCGCUCAAGUAACUUGCCUGAUAUAUUAUUUAGUUUCAUUUUCAUCUCCUGGGAUAGUACAAUUGCUUUUUUUCAUGUGGAACCGGUAAGUUUCAGAUAAAAAUUAUUUAUGUAGACUUUGCAUAUUGCUCUACCAUUUUAUGAACAUUACAGUAACUAUUCAGCUUUACCAAUAGGGCCUGACAACUUUUCUUAGUUAGGCAACAACACUAGCACUCUUCAACAUAAGUGGAAAUUUCAUGAUUUUCCAUUGAGUCAGUUAUGUGAAAAGCAUGGAAACAAGCUAACAUGGAGUCAUGUAAGUUCACCGAUAGGAUGGUGUCUACAAUUUGCAUAUUCCUAUAGUUUUGUGUACAUGUACAUUUUGGCCAAAAUCCGUCUCUCCUGACUCAUCGAAAAAGGCAGCGGCACCGUGACAGCUUUAGUCUACGUACAAAUUCUUCUCAGCAACUCAUUACUUUCCACAUGAUUUCUGGAUGGCAAGUUAACAUAUUUAUUUAGCCCAUGGGUGCAUAUUUAAAAUAUCAGUGCCCUAGAGCAGAACUCUGCAUAUUACUUACAGAAGUUUAUGAGUGAUCUAGCGAUGUUCACCACGGACGCUUCGUAAGGUAUCACAUCUAUUCACCUGACCUCUGAAUGCAUAAACCUGCACUUAUUACCUCAUUCCUCCCUUUAAUGCACUUUCUUAGAUAUUUUGAGAUGUAGGCUUAAGAACAUAUGAGUGCAGAUUUUUCCCACGCUGCUCAUGUAAAUAGUUUCAUAUGUUCAGAUUAUAUCCAUAAUAUCUUCAGCAAUUUUUAUGGGAUAUAAUUAUGGCGUUUGAAUCUACAUUUAUUGUCCUUCUUCUAUUUAAAAAAUAACUCCUUUGAGAUAUCUAACAUUGUAUACUCCUGUUUUCAACAAUUAUAGUUUCAGAACCUUUUGGAGGGAUAUCUUUUGUGUGCAUUGUAGACCAAUCUUUGCUGCGGAUUUUCCCCUCUUUCCCAGCCAUACAGGUUAGUCAACUUGACAUGGGUUUAUUUCUCCUCGAGAUGUAAAAUAUUUGUCUGUUUUCUUUAAACCAGACUACCCGGAACCAAAUCACACGGGAAAUACAUUGCUGAAACAAAUGAUUCUGAAGAAAAAAAAUAAGGUCAAUGCAUAUUUCAUAUUAAAUGACCAAAUAAUAUUCUCACGCUUAAUUGUUAAAUUGAUUUGACCAUAAAUUGGUGUCUCAAAAAAUUCACUCCUGUAUAUUAAUAUUUGGAUUUAUGAUGUCAAUAAGGAAAUAAUUGCUUAGUCAGUAUUGCGUACUAAUAUAGCAAUGUUCUGAUAAUAUCCUUCUCAACCCUCCAUAGAUUGAAAAGCAUAAUUUCUUUUUGUCAUCCAAUCUAAUGACUAUACUAUUGAUUAUGAAUAAUCUGCAGAGUAAUCGCAUUUGUAAUCCUACUCUCACUAGGGGAGAGCACAGAUGUACCGACGGCCAUCGUGUAUGCCGACGGCUAAAUAUCGGGGCCGUUGGCACAGAAACCUCCGGACCGCGGCGACAAGGAUGGCCGUCGGCGUUUAAAUGACCGUCGGUACAAGCCGGUUGUGCCGACGGCCACCGUCGGCACAGGACCAGUCUAGCCGUCGGCACAACAUGUUUUUUUCUUUUUUUUACUACAGACCUGUGCCGACGGUUAUACCGUCGGCAUAACUUUUUUCUAUUUCUGCACGAUAGUUUUCAAAAAAGCAUAACUAAAUCAUUCUAAUUGAGAAAAAUAAGUAUAAUAUAUCAAAUUUUGCAGAAAAACAAGAUCUAUCAUAGAAAAAUAUAAAAAAUGGAAUAUUUCAAAUACCUAAACAAAUCUUCUUGAAAUGAGCUAUAAUGUUCAAGGAUUCAUGGCUUUCACACACGCCAAAAAUGAAAAAAUUGUCGCGCCUGGGUCGGAUUAGAAAUCCGCGUCUGGGGUCUUGCUUCCCAUCCUAGGGUCCACACAUAUGCCAAAUAUGAUCUCGUUUCGGUAAACUAUGCCAUGCCGAGGCUGUUUCCCACCUCAUUUCCCCUGAAAUCCAUAGAACUCCGGACGUGAUAGCCCUUUUCGUGAAGGGUUUUUCAAAAUAAUUUCCGUAUCCCAGUUUUGACAAACGGAACAGUUACUAUGACUUAUAAAAUGACUUCACGCGGCUCCGUGGGAUUUUUGGACUUCGUUCAAAUUGCCAUUUGGCCAAAACAGGACCCCCGUGACAUGCGGUAUCACCGUACCGGGCGUGCGGGUACGUGCACCCAUUCACGAACAAACUGAACGGACAAAAAUUAGCACAUAUAAUGAUGCGUCGUUGAACUAAAAACAAUUUUUUCGGAAUUUCUGGAGCGACUGAUAGUUCACCCCUAGUUCAAAUCCGGUCAGUUUCCAGCGGAUUUGGCGGGACACCGCCGAAGGCCGCAUGGGUUCCCAAAAAGCUAACGAGUGCACAUGUCAUGUGAUAGGUGGUGUGUAGGUGGUCUACAAUCAUCGCACGGAGGUUUCACGUCAUACUAAAAUGUGUCCCAUGUAGCCGCUUCACAAAUAAAAACCGUUUGGGCACGUUAAAAAUGAAAAGAUGGUCGCUCGUGGGUCGGAUUAGAAAUCCGCGUCCGGAGUCUUGCCCCCAUCCUAGGGUCCACACACGUCCCAAAUAUGAUCUCGUUUCGGCUAACUAUGCCAUGCCGAGGCCGUUUCCCACCUCAUUUCCCCUGAAAUCCAUAGAACUCCGGACGUGAUAGCCCUUUUCGUGAAGGGUUUUUCAAAAUAAUUGCCGUAUCCCAGUUUUAACAAACGGAAUAGUUACUAUGACAUAUAAAAUGACGUCACGCGGCUCCGUGGGAUUUUUUUGACUUCGUUCAAAUUGCCAACUGGCCAAAACAGGACCCCUGGGACAUGCGGUAUCGCCGUACCGGGCGUGCGGCUGCACCCAUUCGCGAACAAACUAAACGGACAAAAAUUAGCACAUAUAGUGAUGCGUCGUUGAACUAAAAACAUUUUUUUCGGAUUUUCUGGAGCGACGGAUAGUUCACCCUUAGUUCAAAUCCGGUCAGUUUCCAGCGGAUUCAGCGGGACACCGCCGGAAGCCACAUGGGUUCCCCAAAGCUAACGCGUGCACAUGUCAUGUGAUAGGUGGUGUGUAGGUGGUCUACUAUCAUGGCACGGAGGUUUCACAUAAUACUAAAAUGCGCCCCAUGUAGUUGCUUCACAAAUAAAAACCGUUUGGGCACGCUAAAAAUGAAAAUAUGGCUGUCCGUGGGUCGGAUUUGAAAUCCGCGUCCGAGGUCUUGCUUUCCAUCCUAGGGUCCACACACGUGCCAAAUAUGACCUUGUUUCGGGAAACUAUGCCAUGCCGAGGCCGUUUCCCACCUUAUUUUUUAUAAAGUCAGUCAAAUUUAAUCUAGAGGUACUUGAUCUAAUGCUCAUGAUUUUUGGGUAAGUUAACUUUGUAGGUUCAAAAGAUGAUAUGGAUGUCAUAUCAUAUUUGUAUUCCUCUCAUUUUUCUGAUCAAUUUAGACAUAUUAUUUGCCAAAUUCGCAUUUACUGAUAUUAAUUAUUCCAUAUUAAAUAAAAAGACAAAAAAAUAAAAUCAUUUAAUUGUUUUUUCAAAUUCUAUAUUAUUAUUAUUUAUAUAUAUUCAUUAUUGUUUACUUAAGUAAUUGUUUAGAAUUCAAAAAUAUAGAGGUGUGACAUCGCGAUCAAAGGAUUAAUAUGAUAGAUAUGGUAAUAUUAACAUCAAGAUGUCAUUUCUUUCAUGGAAGCUCAUCCGGGGCCGCGUAGUGUGAGGAUGGGUGGCCAACUGGAAGUUUGACCACAAGUGCAAAUUAACCUAAGAUUAAGUAUACUAAGUGUGAUUUUGAAAGAUUAGCAAGUAAAAAUGUAGAAGAAGAAAACUAAAAAAUAUUUUUUUUCAAAAAAAAUUUGAAUAUUUUUUCGAAAAUAAAUUUGAAAAUUUUGAAAUACUAUGCCGACGGUUACCGUCGGCACAACAAUGUGUGCUGACGGCCAGUCUGUGCCGACGGUGAUUGGGCAGUCCCCGACCAGAACUAUGCCGACGGCGCUACGUCGACGGUCACCGUCGCCACAGCCUGUGCCGACGGCCUUCUGAGCUGUGCCGACGGCUGGCGGCCGUCGGCAUACUACAUCUCUCCCGUAGUGUCUUUGUGCUCUAAAAUUUAAGAUUUCAAGCUAUGACCUACAAAUGUGAAGUUUCUCCACAAUAACACGAUAGAUGAAACUGUAUAUUUGUGUGUGUUUCACAAGCAGCAAAUAAUUGAAAGAAGUGUAUACAUCUCGAGGAGAAAAAAUUCCAUGGAAAGUAUGAAGUGCAAAUGCGUAUUUAGUAUUACCAGCACGUUCGUAAAAUAGCUAGCCCGUGAGGUAGCACGGGUUGAUGACUAGUUUACAUAAUUGUAAACGGAGGGAGUAUAUCGUUGAUUUGGCAGCUGUUCUCCAAACAGCUGUUAACAGUUACUGCACUUGUGUAAGACAAUAUAUACACCAGAUAUUGUAUCAGCAAUUAACCAGUAGAUUGUUUUGGGUCAUUUCUCUCUACGAUUCAUUUGUGGUAAUACUAUUUUCCAUGUUAAUUAAUGAUAGCUUACCUAUGAGCAAUGGUCGGCAUCUGGAGUAGUGAGAAAUUCUGGGGACUGUGUGAAUAAUACGUCAAUAGAUCAUGGAAUUAAAGUGCACAUGCAUGGUUCAAACAACAUUUUAUUCUCUCCGGUUGGUUUUUUUCUUCCAAUGAGUCACCUCAUCACAUGUGAAAGUGAAGUUCUAAUACAUAAUUGGAG